CUAGUUUGGUUCAUGCACAAAGUAUCUUAGCUAUCUGGGCUUGUCAAGUUGUCUUGAUGGGUGCUGUUGAAGGUUAUCGUAUUGCGGGUGGACCUCUUGGUGAGGUUGUUGAUCCACUUUACCCUGGUGGUAGCUUUGAUCCCUUAGGACUUGCCGAUGACCCUGAGGCUUUCGCUGAGCUCAAGGUGAAGGAGAUCAAGAACGGUAGACUCGCUAUGUUCUCCAUGUUUGGGUUCUUUGUUCAAGCUAUCGUAACCGGAAAGGGUCCAUUGGAGAACCUUGCAGACCACCUUGCUGACCCAGUUAACAACAACGCCUGGGCUUACGCGACCAACUUUGUCC
rnacentral:lncRNA from 1 species